AGAACUUCAGCAGAAGUUCGUAGUUUCUUAGGUCUUGUUAAUUAUAGUGCUAGAUUUAUUUCUGACUUAGCUACUAUUUCAGCUCCGCUGCGUGCACUUACUCGUAAAGAUGCAACGUUCACAUGGGGUAAAGAUGAACAAAGGUCGUUCGAUGAGCUAAAACGUCGUCUUGCCAAUGCGGAAACUUUAGGUUAUUAUGACAAGUCGGCACUGACUAAGGUAAUCGCAGAUGCUAGUCCAGUUGGACUCGGAGCCGUGCUCAUACAAGAACAAAACGGUGAGAUGCGCAUUAUUUCUUACGCGAGUAGGAGUUUAAGCGAUACGGAACGCAGAUAUUCGCAGACCGAAAAAGAGGCUCUAGCCUUGGUAUGGGCGUGUGAAAGGUUUCAUGUUUAUAUCUAUGGAAGCCAGUUCGAGCUCUUAACGGAUCAUAAACCGCUUGAGUGUAUUUACUCUACAAAGUCGAAAGUAUGUGCUCGAAUUGAGCGCUGGGUUCUCCGUAUGCAACCAUAUACAUAUACUGUACGGUAUAUUCCCGGAC
rnacentral:lncRNA from 1 species